rnacentral:rRNA from 1 species
UCUAGAGCUAAUACAUGCGAAAAAACUCGACUUUAUGGAAGGGUUGUAUUUAUUAGAUAAAGAACCAAUAUAAUUGGUGACUCAUAAUAACUUUACGGAUCACAUUAAAUGUGACAUAUCAUUCAAGUUUCUGACCUAUCAGCUUUAGACGGUAGGGUAUUGGCCUACCGUGGCAAUGACGGGUAACGGGGAAUUAGGGUUCGAUUCCGGAGAGGGAGCCUGAGAAACGGCUACCACAUCUAAGGAAGGCAGCAGGCGCACAAAUUACCCAAUCCUAAUACAGGGAGGUAGUGACAAGAAAUAACAAUACAGGACUUUUUGGUUUUGUAAUUGGAAUGAGUUAAGUAUAAACCCCUUUACAAGUAUCAAUUGGAGGGCAAGUCUGGUGCCAGCAGCCGCGGUAAUUCCAGCUCCAAUAGCGUAUAUUAAAGUUGUUGCAGUUAAAAAGCUCGUAGUUGGAUUUCUGUUAAUAAUUUAUAUAAAAUAUUUUGAUGAAUAUUUAUAUAAUAUUAACAUAAUUCAUAUUACUAUAUAUUUUAGUA